UCCUAGCCCCGAUUGCAGUGGAAAUCCUUUUUUGUUAUUGCGAGUAUAAAAAGUUCAACAGAUUGCUUCACUCGUUCGCAAUGACAAAAAAGAUUGUAGCGAAAAGCGGGUACCAAC
rnacentral:sRNA from 1 species